AUGUGGGCAGGGGUGCAGGUGUGGAUCAGGGCAGAAAUGCAGGCAGGGAUGCAGGAACUGAUGCAGGCAGGGAUGUGCACAAGACCUGGGGAUGGAUGUCAGCAGGAUGUGGGCAGAGAUGCACACAGGGAUGUGUGUGGGGAUGCAGGAACUGAUGCAGGCAGGGAUGCAGGUGUGGAUCAGGGCAGGGGUGCAGCUGUGGAUCAAGGCAGAAAUGCAGGCAGCUAUGUUGACAAGAUCUGGGCAUGGAUGUGGGCAGGGAUGCAGGCAGAAAUACAGGCAGGGAUGGAGGAACUGAUGCAGUCAGGGAUGUGGAGAAGAUCAGGGCAGGGAUGCAGGCAGGGAGGGCUGUGUGUGGAUCAGGGCAGGGAUGUGUGUGGAUCAGGGCAGGGAUGUGUGUGGAUCAGGGCAGGGAUGCAGGCAGAGAUGUGGGGAAGAUCUGGGCAUGGCUGUGGGCAGGGAUGCAGGUGCCUGUGUGGAUCAGGGCAGGGGUGCAGGCAGGGCUGUGUGUGGAUCAGGACAGGGCUGUGUGGGAUCAGAACAGGGCUGUGUGUGGAUCAGGACAGGGCUGCAGGCAGGGCUGGAGCCCUGGCACAGCUCAAACCAGGUUAUUUGGGCGGGCUGGCAGAAGUAGGUUGCUGGCGCUGCCGCUCCCCGCUCGGCCGCCGGGCUGACCCAUAUUAUCCCAAUUAAAUCUCACUCCCGUGCCCCUCUGCUGCCUCUCUCCCCUGUGCCCUGCAGCAUUCAGGGCUAAAGUAGGCCCUGGUGAGGGAGGCAGAGGAAUGAGGGAUGAGGAGAGGAGGGCACGGCCAGCGUGGCAGAACUGGGGCAGCAGCAGCAGUUUGUGCUCAGCGGCUUCCCUUCGCUCCAGGCCUGAGCCACCUGCACCUCCCCUGACCACAGCGCUCCUGCAAAACAGCAGAACUGCCUUUUCCCUCUGAGCCUUUCCCACAUCACCCCCUGCCCUGUCUCCAUGCUCACCCACCCUGACGGCUCCCUGAGCUCCACACCCGGCACCUCCCCGUUCCCCACCUGCUUCAUUUAUUCCCCUCUGCUCACUCCCAGGGCUUUAAUCCUCCUGGAAUCGCUGCCCGUGCACCACGAUGCUCCACGAGCUGAUUAAACACCUUUCCCUGCUGCUGGGAAAUCUCACUUUCAGUGGGUUUUUAUAUUUUUCCUGAGCUGUAAAGUCACUGCAAGCAGCUGCUCUUUGGGGGCUCUCAGUUCCAGGCAGGAUGUAGGAUUCCAAACCAGCCCAACUUUUACAUCAUUUCACAGAAACACUUACACAGGGCUUAGAUUUUAGGCUUAACAAAUAAUAAUAAGCACCUCCCUUAUUUGCUGCUCAUACCUCUCCUUAAGCCUGGCUCGCUGCAUUAAAAUAAUCUUUUUAUUCCCUUUAUUCCCCAUUUUUAUUCGCAGUGUGGAUGGAGGAAGGAGGAGGGAGAGUUUCCCCCACCACUGGCAUUAAGUGGGGAGUGAGGGAAGCACCAGGGGUGGAUACGAAUCCCUGAGCAAGGAUGUGAGGCUGAGCAAUUAUAUUAAAUCAGCUGAUAAAUAAUGCAAGGGAUUCUGAUGGGGCCCGCCCUGCCAGCACCACACAAACACCACCAGGUCUCCAGGAUAUUAAAAAUCCAAGGGAUGCAGCACAGGAACUGAUCCCAAAGCCUUUCCCAACACCUAAAGCUGUCCCAGGGUCCCACUGCAGCUCUGCCCCCACCAGGUUCUACACAAAGCCAUGGAAUCCACCAGGCCUGGGCAAUGUUCAGCAUUUCCCAAGGUGGGGAACCUCUGCUUGGGCACUUUCCAGCUGGGUCAGAGCUGCUCCAGCAGCAGCCACAGGGCUGGAGAUGAAUUAGAAGAGGUUCAGAGAGGUGCUGAUGGCUGCCCCCCAAUUGAGGAGCCCAAAUUGCUGCAGAGCCAGCAAAGGAAAUCCCUGAGAAGGAAUGUGGAGAAGACCCGGCCACGUUCCUGCAGGACAUCCUGGGGACACCUGGACUCACACCACAGCCAUGGGGACAGUUCUGGUGUGCCCUGAGUGCUGGGGGAGAGCAGGAAUUCCCAAUUCCCACCAUCCCACCCAUCCCUGCCCUCUGGCAGUGAAGCCAUUCCCUGUGUCCUGUCCCUCCAUCCCUUGUCCCCAGUCCCUCUCCAGCUCUCCUGGAGCCCCUUCAGGCUCUGAAAGUGGCUCUGAGCUCUCCCUGGAUCCUUCUCCUCUCCAGCUGAGCACCCCCAGCUCUCCCAGCCUGGCUCCAGCCCUUGGAGCAUCUCUGUGGCCUCCUCUGCACACAGAGAAUUUUUCCUGUCCUCAGACCAAGCCCUGCCCCUUUCUCCCAAGGUUUGUCCCAAGGUUUCUCCCCAGUCUCCUUUGGCUGCAGACAUAACAAAGCCCAAACCAUGGCAAAUGUCACAUGCAGAGACAGGCUGGCACUGUCCUGCUCUCCCCAGGUGACAGUGGCACUGUGAAGACAUUUUGCUGACUCUCAACACCUCCUUUAUCCUCCUUCCCUCCCUUCCCUGCACCUGCUCCAAAGCAAAACCAAAGAGGAAUCAAAUCAACCCUGAGCAUCUCCCAUCACUGACAGCUGGUGCUUUCUUACCCCAAAUGACCCCAAAACCUCCAAGCCCACAGGAAUUCACUGCUUCAGGGAGCAUUUUAAGACAACUGAAGCCUGAAGAAUCCUUCCAGCAUCCCUUCAGGAUUCCCCUUAAGUGGAUCAUGCCCCAGGCUGUGGCUGUUGGACACCUGGCAGUGCCAUCCCAGGGGGAUGCUGCAACAGGUUAAAUAUUCCUGGACGUCACCCAGCUCCUGGUGACAGCUCUGGGACACAGCUCAGAUGGGAGCAGGAGAGCAAACAGGCUCCUCCACAUCCCUGCAGGCUGCACAGGGACACUGCCUGUCCCCAGGGAGCCACCACCAUUCUGGCUUUUCCCUGGCUGCAGGGGCUCAGCACCAGGGCUGCUCAUUGGAAAAGGAGCCAGGAAAACAAAUUAUUAAAAUGGUUGGUGUAAAUUGCACAGGAAUUUCAAGCACUGGCAGGGCUGCUCAUUGGAAAAGGAGCCAGGAAAACAAAUUAUUAAAAUGGUUGGUGCAAAUUGCACAGGAAUUUCAGGCACUGCCCAUCACAAGGUGGAGUCCCCACCCUUGGGGGGAUUUAAAAGCCCUGUGGAUGUGGCACUUGGGGACAUGGGUGGGAAUGGACUUGGAAGAUUUUUAGAGGGAUUUUCCAACCUGAACAAUUCCAAGAUUUUAAGCCUGAAGUUUCCAGGCACAGCAGCACCGACAGGACCCGACCAUAAUGACCUUAAUGACUAUAAUGACCAUAAUUAGUACAUGGAGCCACCCCAGCAGUGCCACCAUCCUCCUGGAGGUGCCAGCCUUGGGAACAGGGGCUCCAGCUCCUCCUACCCGGGCAGGUGCAGGAGGAGAGGGAGGAGGGGGAUCCUCAGCACGGAUUUCCCCUGGGAAUGUGCCAGAAUUCGGUUUGGUGGCACAGGGCACCGAUGUCCCCGUGGCCUCUGCCUGCAGGGAUGGGCACAGGCAGCUCAAAGCACAGGAAAAGCAGGAAGCAGCCAGGUUUUGGGCUGGGAUUUAUCCCCCUGGACACAGGAUGCAGCAGGAGGAAGGAUGCUGAGCACCAUGGUGAAAGCAGGAACAGCAAGGAGUUUGCACUGGGAAUAUCCCAAAGUCCAAGGAUUUUUUUCCCCUUUGGAGGGAUCUCAUGUGAUCCAGGAAGGAGCAGGGGCUCAGGCAAGGCAGCCCCUUCCCACUCAGGUCCAUCCAGAACAUUUCCAGCCAAAAAAGCUGUUCCUAGGGAGCCUCACGGGGUGGGCAGAGCCAAAUUCCCUUCCCAAAGCCCUGGGGAGAGCAGGAGAGGGCAGGAAGAUAAACCUGUUAAAAUGAGACAUCAGCUCACAAAGGAGCUUAUCCUGCAGCACCCCUGGAACAACCAACCUGCAUGAGAGCAUCACCCACAGCACAGAACUCCAACCACGAGAGCUUCCCCUGGAUAAACUAAUUAACCCGGGUUCUAACGAGGAUGAUGAUGGCAGACAUCAGGGGAAGGAAAGUGCUGAGUGAAAAGGCAGGGAAGGACGAGAUAAGGUGAAAACUAAUUGUGUUUGGGAGGAUCAGCAGGUGCUGGUGCAGCUGCUGCCCAGGAAUUAUCCAGGGGGUCUCAGCUGCAAGGUGCUGGUUUUUAAAGGCCCAAUGUCAGUUCAGAGGGGAUUUUUAUUCCUGUAUUCCCACGGUGCUCGGAGUCCAUCACUCCCAUGUGAAAUGCAGAUGAGUGAUUUUAGACUCCAGCCUUGGCAUGGCUGUGUCCUCGCCACCCUCUGAGAUCCCUUCCCUGAUCCUGCACCCAGCUGCCUCCCCACCCACCAAGCACCACCACUGCCCUGCACGUCUCUAAUCAAAGGCAUCACUGAUUAAUCCCCGCCCUGGGCCGACAUCCACACCCGACCAACGCCACCCCAGCCACUCUGGAUGGGGUUUGGAGCAAGCCUGGCUUCUCCAAGGAGCCAAAUCCACGUUCUGCUGGCAGCUGGAUCCUGCCCUGCCUCAGGAGCCACAGCCCCUGUCCCUGCAGCCAUCCCGAGCUUCCCACCACCAGCAGCACCAGGAGACCCCCUUUGGGAUUUUGGGUGGACAGGGCCACUCCUGUGCUCUAAAGGGACUGGGUUUGGGGGGUUUGCACCAUGCAUGGGGCACCCAGAAGGAAAAAUGCACGUGGAAAGCUGGGCUGGAAGCGAGCAGGGGGUAAAACUGCACGGGCAAGAAAAAAUUCCUGGGUGAAAAAAUUCCUGGGUGAGUGGACCAGGAUGCACCCACAUCCUUUUCCACGGAAUGGGGUUUUAUUUCCCGCUGCUUUUGCCCCCAUCCCUCCUCCUCACAAAGAGCCCAGAGAGGGAGAACAGCGAGAAAAGAGCCUGGAAAGCAAGAAAAACUGAAAAUCCAACCUAAUCCUUCAGCUGCUUCCUGCCCCUUCCAUGCUGGCUGUGAAUACACACAUCACAUCACAUCCAGCUUUCACAUCCUGAUCCAGGCACAGGAGGGAGACCCUUGG
rnacentral:lncRNA from 1 species